rnacentral:rRNA from 1 species
UACGAGAGGCCCAAACGUUAUUCGGAUUUACUGGGCUUAAAGAGUUCGUAGGCGGCGCAGAAAGUAGGGUGUGAAAGCCCUCGGCUCAACCGAGGAAUUGCGCUCUAAACUACUGUGCUUGAGGGACCUAGAGGUGAGCGGAACUGAUGGUGGAGCGGUGAAAUGCGUUGAUAUCAAGUCACGGAAGCACCGGAGGCGAAGGCGGCUCACUGGUCCGGUACUGACGCUGGAGGUGACGAAAGGCGUGGGGAGCGAACAGG